rnacentral:pre_miRNA from 1 species
GAGACACCCCUCCGGGGCAAGACUUGCUUCAAUGGAGCUUUGGUGCUCACUGAGUCUGCCCCCUGAGUGUGUCCUU